AUUGACAGUCAAGUAUACAAGGGGCUGUGCUUUUCUUUCUACUGGAUACUGUCCUUCUGAGCUUCCAAAGAAAACUCCCUGUAUCAGCCACUGUACAUUCAGUUUGGGACUGCGACUUCUCUGAACUACCUAGUGGUAUAAUUUCUUGGAACAAAGGGGGAAGAACCUAAUGCCAUACGCCUGGGAACAUGGCUACACAGAGAUAAUGCAUGUCAGCUUCAGACUUGUAACAGCAAGUGUUUUUUUUAUUGCUUUCAUGAUCUAAAUGCCCGUAUAUGGGGCGUAACUGGAAAUCAUGUGACUUCCUGAAGUUCAGCUUCCAGUUCUUGUAAACAUACGUACAAAUUUCACUUUCUGAUUUCUGGAAACCAAAAGUGAGGUGCUUCCCAGUAAACUUUUUGCGCUACAGAAAUUGAUGUUCAUGCAAAUGAUCCUCCUAAUCUAUGCUAAACAUUAAAAACUGCACUACUCAGCCACAGCCUGCCUCUGUAAAGCUGGGAUGUGCUGGCACGAAGACUCCCCCUCAUAUCAGAUGAAACAAUGCCAGCUACUCCAGCAGGACCAAGAAGAAAGCCUGAGCUGCAGCUGGAAUUCAGAAAUAGCAGCCAAGACAUAUCUGCCUAGACACACCAGGAUGGAAUCUGGGGAAUGUGAAGUGGAAGCUAAGCAGUGCCGGCAGCACCUGGAAGCAGCCAGCCUUCAUACCUGCCUUGG